GGUCACCAGACAAAAUAAAGAGAUAUAGCGCAUUGUUUUUCUAAAAUGGAAAAUUCUAAUGACGUCAGCAAUUGACAUAAAACGCUAUAUAGAACACGCGAAAUGACGUGAGAUGGCGCGAGCAACUGCUCACGUCAGGUCAUUUUGGAAGUUCUUUCAUUUUGUUAAUCAGUUUCCGCGACCUGCGGGUAAAAAUGGUCAACCGGUUUUGAGUUCGCGAUUCUUGAACAGGGUUUUUGUGAUAACUAUAUCGAGCCACCUUAAUUUGAUAUGCCGAUUUUCGCUAAUUUUAGACACAUCCCAAAAUAUGCUCCCGAUUUUGAACAUUAAUAUCUCCGUGAAUUUUUAAGUAAAAUACAACUGUAAUAUAUCAAAAUCUAAGUUAGCCCUUCCUCUAUUUAAUGCAAUGUUAUUAUAAAUCAAACCGGGGUACUUUUUUUUGGGACACCCGGUAUAUAUAAAAUGUAUGUAAACCUCAAUCAAAGAAAAUCAUAGACCAAUUUCAUAUCUCCGUCUGCACAGGUCGGAAUCGCUUAAAAUACAGUUAGUUCUCCGUAGUUUCUUUACAGUCACAGAUCAAUAUAUAUACGUUUCUUUUUAUGGAAAACACCAAGUUUAUUUAGCAAAGUUUUCAAUCUGUAUACUUCAUCAAAUAUAUUCUAUAUU